rnacentral:rRNA from 1 species
CAAUGCGGCGACGCAAAGCGGAACUUGAAAGCCUGUCUCAGUUCGGAUUGGAGUCUGCAACUCGACUCCAUGAAGCUGGAUUCGCUAGUAAUCGCGCAUCAGCCAUGGCGCGGUGAAUACGUUCCCGGGCCUUGUACACACCGCCCGUCACACCAUGGGAGUUAGGAGCGCCCGAAGCCGGUGAGGUAACCGAGAGGAGCCAGCCGUCGAAGGUGAGACCAAUGACUGGGGUGAAGUCGUAACAAGGUACC